ensembl:lncRNA
AUGCCUUUCACCCUCUCCUUCUUUUCCCAUUUUGUUUUACUGCCUCCAUGCUGUUCCUCUUUAUUUCCAGUAUUUUAUUUCAAGGAGCCAGUUUGAAGUGCUCUCAGCCCAUCUGCUGGCUUGGGUUCGAACGAGGGCUGGAACAAGACGAGGAGGUUUGGAAGCCACGAGCUAUUUAUAGUGUAUUUGUUCUUUCACAUUGGCACAGAACUUUGUUUAUAGUAUCACCUGCGGUAGAAGCCAAGCCAGGGGACCACAGCUCACUUGAUCUAAAAUUGGCUUUAUUUCUUGCAUUUCUUAACAUAGACCACAUGUGUAUGCCUGCUGCCCGCCAGCGUGUGGUUGGUGCUUGCACACACAGAGCACAAACACCGAGUGCUCAUGAGCGCGCAUAUGAAGCUCCCGAUGAGAGGCUCCCACAGAUGCUAAACAAAGCUGCAAGGAGAAGGGAGCUGUGUGUGUGCGUUGCCACCCUAGAAAGGAACGGAUCCCAAGAGAAAUCUUGAAUGAAAAUUUUUCAUUGCAAUUUCUCCCGUCGGUUUUCAUUUGCUCCAAGUAGUAUUUUCGCCUUGGGUUGGCCUGUUGAAAAACAAUGAUCAUUUUUAUUUUCCUUCUGCAUUAAAUAUUUUUUCUUCCUUUCAAAACAAAACAACAAUUUAAAUUGAAACCCAAAGAAAUCUGUCAUUUUAAAUUGCUGUUUUGACAUAAAAGCAUUUCAUUUAUUUUUCUAGCCAAGAAUCGACAUUUCAAUUUGAACCACGACAAAAUUUUUCAUUUUCUUUCAAAGUAUCAAUUACAAAUGAAAAUAUUUUCAUUUCUUCUCCUCAGAAAGUCAGAAUUUUUCAUGCUUCCAAAAUUGCAGUGAUCAUUUGAUUGGAAGAGCUGAGGUUUAAGCAAAGACAUGAAUUAAACAGCAGAACUGGCAUUCAAUUCUGGAAGCUGGUAAAAAGUGUUUCUGUUUGCAGAGUAGAUGUCCGGGUAGGUUGAGUACAUGUAUGAAUACACUGUAUUUAAUAGGAGUACAUGCGGUCAAAGCUUGCUGUGACCUGCAUAAAAGGUAUGCGAUUAAAAAGACUCUAGUUGUAUACCUGGCCACAUUCUCAUGUGGAAAUAGUCAUGUUAGCAUUGGAGAGUCAGAUCCCAAGGAGCAAAGACCGGUGAAGCUCUGCUGACUCCAUUGACUCCUGACUCCUGCCAGGAUGGCCUGUGGCCUGGAAAACAUGCUUACCAUGAGAGAUUAGAAGGGAUCUAUUUAUUUCACUUGUAAAAGAGCUUAAGAAACGAUUCAAUCAUGUUCUAUAAUUACUUUUGCAAGGAGAAGAUAUGUGAUAUUGCAGGGAUCUUCGGUCCAGCAGACAACUGUAUAGAACAAGAUCUGACAGCUAAACAAUUCAUAGCUAAUGUAACAUACAGUUUUAAAUCUUCCUAAAAUUUUUAAUUCUUGAUCUCUGGGACAUGUAGGCAGUAGAUAAGAUAAAUCUUGCAUCACUCCGUCCCUUUAAAAUGCGACUAUAUUGUUCCCUAGAGUGCUGUGGAUUGGCUUGGAACAGUUGGGUCAGGAUCCGAAUGACAGGGAAGAUCCACCACACGUGCCAGGACAGUGAGAGCUCAAAGAAUCAGGCCAUGAUUAUCAGAGCUGAGUGAAAGUCAAGAGAGGAAGAGCCUCAAGGAUCGUUCAAAGAUUAUCAGAUCAAGAUCAUCACAUUGUACCAAACGGGCUCUCAGUCCCCUGUGUGGGUACACACACCACGCAUGUAUGGAUUUUAUUUUAUCCCGGGCUGCCACAUGCAUUUGCCAGCCUGGGAGAUGCCUCUCAGAGCACUCCUGAUCACCCCGUGAGCCUGAGCUGGUGCGGAGGAGGGAAGCGGGGAUUUAUGCAGCGUAUAUGGGAAACCCCCACAGGGCCCCUUUGCAGAACUCUGGCUUCCAGGCCGGCUGCCAAGCAUUAACUACAAUACUUGCGCUUGUUUUUGACAACAGCACGCAGGUUGUAUUUCACCCAUUGCUAUUUUGGUUUUGGAGUUAUGGCAGAAAUGUCUCUGGGUGCUGGCCUGGUAUAAGCGGAGUGGGAGAUUUACUCUUAUUGUGUAAUGUCACCUUUCAGUCGGUGCUUGCAGUGAAAAUUAUGGAGUGUCACUUGUUCUUUUUAUUAAAUUUCAAGGCUGUGCACCUCUCGUGUGGGAAGUGUAACUCUGUCCCGCUUCUGCUUCGAGUGGUAGCCUCAGCUGUUGGGCACCUUUUAAAACAUGAAUUCAUCUUUUUUUUUUUUUUUUCUUUUUCCUUUCUCUGCUUUUUAUCAAAAUGUUGAGACCAGCAGCAGCCGUUGCCAUGCUCCGAACUGCUGCCUGUGAUGAUGGAUGAGUUUGGCCCCAAAAGCACGGAGAGAUACUGGACUCAGCACAACACAGAUGUUGCAAUGCAGCCAAAUUAAGCUGUUGUGGGAAUGUGCAAGUUGGGCCUUAGUCAGAGUAUCUCAUGCCUGCCUGCCUCGCUGAAAAGCAAGAGCGAAAUAUUAGCAGCUGACCUGGUGGGAUAUACACUUGCCCAAAAUAUUCUGCU